rnacentral:lncRNA from 1 species
GUUUGGAUGAAAAAGAUUUUUUUUUUUGAUAGAAACUAUCUUCAUUGAGAUAAUUAGAAAUUUGUCUUCAUUGGGAUAAAAAUUGAAGGGUUUAUUGAAAGACUUCAUUGAUAGUACAUUUUGAGAUUCUUAAUAUUCCAUGUUCGUGGAAUAAUUGUACCAUUCAAAUUCUUAAUUCGGUAUGCUUCUGAAUGAAUCACCUCUAU